rnacentral:rRNA from 1 species
UACGUAGGGUGCAAGCGUUGUCCGGAAUUAUUGGGCGUAAAGAGCUCGUAGGCGGUCUGUCGCGUCGGCUGUGAAAACCCGAGGCUCAACCUCGGGCCUGCAGUCGAUACGGGCAAACUAGAGUACUGCAGGGGAGACUGGAAUUCCUGGUGUAGCGGUGAAAUGCGUAGAUAUUGGGAGGAACACCAGUGGCGAAGGCGGCUACCUGGACCGGUUCUGACGCUGAGGCGCGAAAGCGUGGGUAGCAAACAGG